rnacentral:lncRNA from 1 species
GCUAUUCAGAAGGCUCAGUUUCAGUUGCGUCUUGCUUCUUCAUGAUUCUCCGGUGGAAAUAGCUGCUUUGUAGUGCAACUGUGUCAUGGAAAGAAACGGUUCAAGAUUAGUGUGUGUGAUCUUUUUUCAUCUUAUUAUAAGUCCUAAAAAGAAAUUUAUAUUGACCUUUUUUUGCUAGUUGGUGAACCUUCAGUGUUGUUCCUUUUUUCUCCUUGUGGAAUUUGUUCAGUACAGGAAGUCUAUUGACAUUCAAUGAAGGAAGCAAGAUCAGUUUUGCAUCCUCUGUUAACACACCGUAAAAUGCAUUCUAUAAAAUGGCCCGUGAAGGAUUAACUAUGAAGAGUGGUGCAAAAGAAAAAAGGAUAACAAUCAUAUUUUUCUGGUGCGACAGAUAGAUGAUGGUUGUUAGAACUUAAUGUGUGCAAGCCGAUAUAUUCAGUGUCUUGUUAGCCAACACCAGCUAAUCUGAACACUUUUCUUUGAAAAAUACUGGCCUGAUCUUGAUAAGGACAUAUAGUAGUACCAUCUCUGAGUUGAUUAUAAUAUCCAAGCUAUGUUGUUCUGUUUAUGAUCUUGUAAGCAAACUUGGUAGGGAGUUACAUAUGCGGGCAAUCAAAUGGUCAAGCACAACAGAUAAUAAAAUUCUAAGAGAGACAACAUAGUAGAAGCAGAGGCAGAUAUUCCAUGAAUUUACUUCUAGAAAUUCAUGUACACAAUGGGCUCAUAAGCAUCGCAAAUCGUGUACUAAAAAAUCUUUCGAGAUCAAGUGGUAGGAAUGAAGUGAUAUGCUCUCAGAUAUAGCAAAUCAAUACGGAAAAAAGUAAGCAAAAGAAAAACAAUAUGACCUGAUAAUAUCUUUUUAUGAUGUCCGGAUUGUUGCAACUAUCUAUGAUAUUAGUUGUGUGGACUUGCUAUCUCUGCUGCCU